rnacentral:rRNA from 1 species
UACGUAGGGGGCAAGCGUUGUCCGGAAUCAUUGGGCGUAAAGAGCGUGUAGGCGGCCCGAUAAGUCCGCUGUGAAAGUCCAGGGCUCAACCCUGGGAUGCCGGUGGAUACUGUCGGGCUCGAGUCCGGAAGAGGCGAGUGGGAAUUCCUGGUGUAGCGGUGAAAUGCGCAGAUAUCAGGAGGAACACCAAUGGCGAAGGCAGCUCGCUGGGACGUGACUGACGCUGAGACGCGAAAGCGUGGGGAGCAAACAGG